UAGGGAAUCUUCCACAAUGGACGAAAGUCUGAUGGAGCAACGCCGCGUGAGUGAAGAAGGUCUUCGGAUCGUAAAACUCUGUUGUUAGAGAAGAACACGAGUGAGAGUAACUGUUCAUUCGAUGACGGUAUCUAACCAGCAAGUCACGGCUAACUACGUGCUAG
rnacentral:rRNA from 1 species